UUAAAGAUGUUUAUGCUGUUGCAAAAGUGUGCGGGGUAUUAAUUAAAGCUACUGUUGGUUUCGAGACGAGAUGAAAGGAAUUCGUUAACGCGUUUGGGUUAUGGGUUCACUUAUCGAGGAACCGGAAGAAGAAGCAUUAAGAAAAGUUAUACUGCGUUUGGUUUAUAUGUUGUUGAAUUAAUUAGAUUAUUCUCUUCCCUCAUCUUUGUUAUUGCAAUUUCGUAAGAGGGAUAGGAGUUGUAUGUUUUAUAUAUAUAUUAUAUUAUAAGUUAUUAUAUAAGAAGUCUUGUAUUUGAA